AAAGUGGAAAGAAUACAUAGAGGAGUUUCUUGAGAAAAAAAGAAGGAAAGAACGAAAACAAAAUAGUGGUGAGAAUGAAGAUGAAGAAAGUGACUCAGUGGUAGGUGCUGAUGCGUUGAAAAAUGGAAAAGACUCAGCAGGAAGUGUAAAGAAACCUGAAGCCAGGAACAUCACCUAUGAAGUACUACCGAAAAACAGUGAAAACACUUAUACAACACCAAAGCACAGUUCCAUAUUGAGUGACCGAGUGUACACUCGGAGUGGCCGUCUUGUUAAACCACCAUUGAGUUUCUGGUGUGGGCAACGUGAGUUUGUUGAUCAGGAACUAAAUGUUACUGUAGAAGGAGGUGGAAUCGAUUAUUUGAGCAUGAUGUUUAGUAGUGAAAAAUCCCAAAGACAGACAAGCUCCAUCUCAAAGAAGAAUAAAAGAAAGGCACUAACGAAGACCUCAGAAGAAAUGCCGAAAAGACAAAGUAAAGGUAAAAAA
rnacentral:lncRNA from 1 species